GCUUUUUCUGAGCUCCUGCGCUGGGGAGGGUGGGUGGAUGCGUGACGGGAAAACAGCAAGUGCUUUGCAUUCACCCCACCGCUUUGCCAUCRUCCAAUUAACUCUAUUAAUAGCAGCAGCACUUCCCCAUCAGCAAAACUUUCAGGCUUGUAGCAGCUAAAUGCUUCCUGAGAGAUCCUGGACGUCAGGCAGGGCUGGGGCUCCUUAACGACGCGUGGUAUUUUAAUGAGCCUUGUACCUAGAAGAGGAUCAUAGGAAAUGGAUGGAAUUCCAUUUGUUGGUUUGAGGAACGGAGGAAAGAACAUGUGUUUGGUGCUACACGUAGCUGAGAUGCUACCCUGGUGAAAAUGAAGUGGAAGCUUCUGUAACCUGAGUUUUUCGUGGGGAAGAGCAGCGGCUGAGCACGGGCUCGUGGCCACCCCCGAGCUGGGCUCCCCGACGUGUCCGGUGGUGCCAUCCCCCAGCGCGGCAGCAGCURUUGCUCUCGGCGUCAUCUCUAAUGCUUUACACUCUGCCCACUUGAAGCACCAUACUUCAGUUUUAUCCAGACUGCUAAUAAGGAAUCUAAGCACGCUGGCUGUAUAAAAUAGUGCCAUUUUUUUCCUUCUCAGACCGACUAGCAAUGCCAGACCUUAAUGGAGAGUUGUAACUGGGUUUCUUCCUUGCUCUUAAAAUCCAUUUACGYUUCACCUGGGGGAAGUAAAACUCUGACAUCAAUUCGUAUUCAUUGGUCACGUCCCUCGUUUCAUUAGGUGCUCCUAUUUUUGAUGUCCUACARCUCCUGUCACUUUUACAUUGCACAAAUCAUUCAGAAAGCAAGCAAAGAAAUCCCUCGGUAUCCCCGCGACAGUUCAGUCCUGUGUAAAUCCYGGAGUUUGCCUGUUUCUGAGAUAUUGCAUUUCGCAUCUCCGAGGGCUUGUGUGCUUGUGCACAUGAGAGGAUGCAAUGUGCAAAACUUUCUCCUGGCCUGGAAACUGGUGGAGCUUUGUCUUCAGGAGAAGACUGAGAGCUUGCUGCUCUGCUAGGUAGAGCCAGCRACUUUCUGAAGAUCAGCGGGCAGAGGAUGUGCUCCGGCUGGGAAGGGGCACUGAAUUCGUUGGCACGGAUGAACUGAGCUACUGACGGUCUACUCUGAAGACAAAUCUAAGCAAAGGGCAUGAAAUAAUGUGACAAAARUUGUAAAUCACUGCACCACUCUCUGCCAGUUCUCCGGUCCAGCCUGCCAGCCCYGUAGCCGUCCGUUGGCACCAUCCG
rnacentral:lncRNA from 1 species